AAAUUCAAGCAGCCAGUGUAGACAAGUGGCAAGUCUUGCCCGUCUAGACACACAUGUAGUGUGCUGACACCUGCAAUUUCCCCCAAAAAGGGGAGACUUGACUGCACAAUUUAUGGUAGUGGGGGAUUGCAUUUGUGCUUUCCCCUG
rnacentral:snRNA from 1 species